GACGAACGCUGGCGGCGUGCUUAACGCAUGCAAGUCGAACGAGGUCCAUGCAGUGGCAACACUGCGGAAGACCUAGUGGCGAACGGGUGAGUAACACGUGAGGAACCCACCCCGGAGACCGGGAUAAGCCCUCGAAAGGGGGUCUAAUACCGGAUGCCCUCACCGGAUCGCAUGGUCCGAUGAGGAAAUGGAUUCCGCUCCGGGACGGCCUCGCGGCCUAUCAGCUUGUUGGUGGGGUAACGGCCCACCAAGGCAUAGACGGGUAGCUGGUCUGAGAGGACGGUCAGCCACACUGGGACUGAGACACGGCCCAGACUCCUACGGGAGGCAG
rnacentral:rRNA from 1 species